GAGCUUUUUAAACCUAAUAAAUUUACUACAGAAAUUCAACCAAAAUUAUUACAUUUAAGGGAUCUAUUGAUACCAAGAAACUGGAUGAUAGUUAGAAUAAGUGGUGCUAGUACUUCAAAACCUGUAAGUACUAUAGAAUAUAUGUCGUCAGGAGAUAGAUUAUUUUUUAAAAAUAAUGCUAUAACAAAUACAUAAACAUUAUUGAGCUUUUUAAACCUAAUAAAUUUACUACAGAAAUUCAACCAAAAUUAUUACAUUUAAGGGAUCUAUUAAUACCAAGAAACUGGAUGAUAGUUAGAAUAAGUGGUGCUAGUACUUCAAAACCUGUAAGUACUAUAGAAUAUAUGUCGUCAGGAGAUAGAUUAUUUUUAAAAAAUAAUGUUAUAACAAAUACAAAUGAUAAUUUAGUUUUACCUUCAAAUACUCAAACAGAGAAAGACGAGGAUAAUAUAAGUACAAGUUCAACACCAAUAGGAAUGAAAACAGUUAAAAUACCUAUUUUUCCAACUGAACCUAGUAGAAAUUCUAGAAACACUAGAAUGGAAGAAAUUUAAACAUCAACAAUUAUUCAAUAGAUGAAAAUUGGAAAUAGUGAUGUUAUUACAUUUUCAAAUUUUUAACGAAGAAAAUAUUAUAUAUAUAUUGAAAUUACAUUCCAAUUUAGAGAAUAUAAAACAUAUUCUUUACAUGCUUUAUUAGACACUGGAGCUACCACCAGUAGUUGUAAAAAAAAUACCAUUCCUGUAGAAAAAUGGGAACCAAUGAAAAAUCCAAUUAGAGCCAUAGGAAUAGAUGGUAAUGAAACCAUAAUAGGAUUUAAGGCUAGAAAAAUACCAAUCUACGUAAAUACCAUUCCUAAAAUAUUAUGUUUUCCUGAAAUGCGUGGAGAUAUAUUAUUUUUUUAAAAUAAUGUUAUAACAAAUACAAAUGAUAAUUUAGUUUUACCUUCAAAUACUCAAACAGAGAAAGACGAGGAUAAUAAGUACAAGUUCAACACCAAUAGGAAUGAAAACAGUUAAAAUACCUAUUUUUCCAACUGAACCUAGUAGAAAUUCUAGAAACACUAGAAUGGAAGAAAUUUAAACAUCAACAAUUAUUCAAUAGAUGAAAAUUGGAAAUAGUGAUGUUAUUACAUUUUCAAAUUUUUAACGAAGAAAAUAUUAUAUAUAUAUUGAAAUUACAUUCCAAUUUAGAGAAUAUAAAACAUAUUCUUUACAUGCUUUAUUAGACACUGGAGCUACCACCAGUAGUUGUAAAAAAAAUACCAUUCCUGUAGAAAAAUGGGAACCAAUGAAAAAUCCAAUUAGAGCCAUAGGAAUAGAUGGUAAUGAAACCAUAAUAGGAUUUAAGGCUAGAAAAAUACCAAUCUACGUAAAUACCAUUCCUAAAAUAUUAUGUUUUCCUGAAAUGCGUGGAGAUAUAUUAUUAGGAAAUAAUUUUAUAUAUCAACAUUUACCAUUUUCUAUAGAUAAAAAUUUAAUAAUAUUGUUUGCAGAAAAGAUUUUUGUAGAAAUACCUUUAGUAGAAAAUUAUAAAUUUGUGUGUGAUAAAAAUUUUACACCCCCAAGAAAAGAACAGAUUAAACAACUAGAAACAGAUCAUUGGUUGUUUAAAAUUCUAGAAGAUAAUUUUAGUGAAGAACCAUUAAAUUAUGGCAGAAUAGUCCUAGAUAUUGUGAAAUAAAAUUGGAAAAUCCCAAUAAAAUCAUUAGAGUAAACCUAUAAUCUAUACUAAACAAGAUAUAAAUGAAUUUGAUAUACAAAUCAAAGAAUUAUUAGAAAAAUGAUUAAUAAAAAAAAACUAAUAGUCCACAUUCUAGUCCUGCUUUUAUGGUAAGAAACUAUGCUGAAAUAAAAAGAGGAAAAGCUAGAAUGGUAAUUAAUUAUAAAAGAUUAAAUCAAAAUAUUAUUUUUGACGGAUAUUUUAUUCCAAGAAAUGAUGUUUUAAUUAAUCAAGCUAAAUAAGCAAAAUAUUUUAAUCCACAAUUUGUUGUUUUUAAUCAUAUCCUAAACAAUGGACCAUAUUCAAAUAUUUUUCUAUAAUAACAACUAAUUUGUAUUUUUAUACGAUGCAUAGGCCGGUUGUAUAUAUAUAAUAUUUUAAAAAAUUAAAAGGUCAUAAACUUUUGUGAUGCAAGGAAUUUAAAUUUCAAUGAGACACCAAAUUUGUCAAAAGCGUAUCCAAAAAAAUUAUUUUUUUUUAUUUUUUAUUAUUAAUGUUAUGAGAUUUAAAAACAUGUUAAAUUAUGUAUACUUCUUUGAGAAAAAAAAAUAAUUGAGUUUGAUGUACUUUUAUAUAUAUAUAUUAUGCAUAUAUGAUGUACUUAUAUUAACUUUUUAAUUGUUGUUCAUAUUUGGUAAAGGAUUAUUUGUAGAAACAUUCGUGGUAUAAACUAUUCAUUAAUUAAUUAAGCAUAAGAAUAAUUUUCAAAAAUAUAUUAUAAUCAUUUUCAUAUUUUAAUUGAAAAUAUUUAAUAUAGAAAACCAUAUAUGCAUAUGCAUUAUCGUAAAGUACUAUACGAUUAAAUUUUUUUUAUAUUAGUUGUGCUAUUUAUAAUAAUUGUAUCUAUAUUUAAGUUUAUUAUAUCUAAGUAAUUAGCUUAACAUUAUUAAUAAUUUAUAAUUAUUUCAUUAGAAUAGCUAAAUUAAAUAUACAUUAAAAAGAUAUGUGUUUAAGGAAUUAAAAUAUAGUGAGCGUAAAAAUAAAAGUUAUCAAAAAAUAUGGAAAACAGAGAGACUUCUGGUGCCGGAAAAGCCAUGCAGAGGAGUUGAUCCCGAAGAAAGUUCACUUUAGACAGGAAGACGGAGAUUCUAACAACGAUAUGAUGAUCGAUCUGACCUCGGAGCAGCCCGUUUCGUGGAAAGAUAAACUUAUCGGUCAAUCAUCAAAGAAUGAGAGUACUGGUUCGGAAGGAAGAGAGGAUUUUGUUAUUAUGGAUGGCGACAUUCAAAAAUCUUUUGUGAAUGGAAUGCCUUCUAUAACUUUCUCGGACAGGGUUCAUCAAUUUUUAAUACAAGGUAUGGAGAAUACCGUGAUUUUAAAAUUGCUUGGUUGUAACAUAGGUUUUUCAGUUUUGCAGAAUAAAUUAUACAAUCUGUGGAGACCUUCAGUAACCCUACAUAUGAUGGAUAUUGAGAAUGAAUAUUUUCUGGUUAAAUUUCAAAAUAAGUUGGACUAUGAAAUGGCUCUUUCUGAAGGCCCUUGGAUUAUCUUUGGACAAUACUUGACGGUUCAGCCUUGGACGGUAUCUUUUGAUCCCUCUCAGGCAUACCCAAGCAUUGUGAAGGCGUGGAUCAGGUUUCCUGGUUUACCGGGGUACUUAUACAACCAUAAAAUUAUUUUUGAGAUAGGAGGGAUGGUUGGAAAAGUGGUUAAGCUCGACAUGAACAUUGACAGUAGAGCUAGAGGGCGUUUUGCUAGAAUGGCGGUUUAUGUUGACUUGGAUAAGCCUUUGGUUUCCCAAAUCUUGAUUAAUGGACGAAAACAGAACGUGUAUAUGUCUCUCUAUCCACAAUCUAUUUUAGCUGUGGAAGAUAUGGUCACGUGGAAAACUCUUGUAUGUUCAGGAAUUCAGGUGUCACCGGAGAAAAGAGUCUUACUGCACAUGAAGAGUCGUCGGGGAUUCGGGAAAUGAUUAGAGAUAGCUCGGGGAAGAAGGACAAAAAUUACAGGCCAUGGAUGAUCGUUGAAAGGAAAUCAAUGCGGAAUUUUAGAGAGAAUGUGCAGGCUCCGGUAGCAAAUCAAGGGACUGAACAAGAAGGCCCACGAUUUAGACUCCUUAAUAAUAGGGAUUAUCAUAAAAAUGGUAAUGAAGGUGUUCUGUCACGUAAUAAAGGGAAAGAAAUAUUUAAUGGAAAAUAUACCAGGAAAGAGGUUGGCUCUCUUCAAAAAGAAAGUCUUGAUUUAAGCAAGAAUAAUAAUAAUAACGGUCAGGAUAAAGAGGUAGGCCGUUUCAAUAAUAUAGGCUCGAAUAUUAAUGGGGAAAAUGGGCCAAUAUCUGGGUCUAGCUUGAAUAAAAAACAGACUAAAGAAAACUUACCGGAUUCUAAGAAGCAGACCAGCUAUUUGGGCCUUGGAGACAGCUCAAAUGCUCAAGCCCGAGAUACCUUGGACCUACCUGGAUCUGUCACUGUGGCCCAACAGAAAGCUGUGGUUGCUGGCUGCAGUAGCAGCUCUAUGGCGGUGGUAGACGAGCGAUUGCCUUCUACUGGUGAGAUGGAUCUUCUCCUUGAAUUCAAUUCUGGUUCGGCUCAAGGGUAUCCGGUUCUGGAAGGGUGUAUCAGAAAGGAAGAGAGACUGGCAGUGGGAAACCUUGAUCCUGGAAGACAUACGGCUGUGGUUUUCCACGAUAACUUGAACCCUAACAAGACUAACUCUCUUCCAAACAGCAGUAAAGGGCUAAUCCUGGUGAGUAACUCCAGCCUAGGGAAGGGAUUCGGUACUAGAGGGAAAGGUAUUUCUAAGAAACGAAACAAAGUUGCCCAUGGGAGCAAUACCCGUUUCAAAUUCGCUGGCUCACAACGGGUCCCUUUGAAGUAGUCGAUAGAGCAGAUUGCUGAAAGCCUUUCGGCCUUAUCCAAAUCCAAUCUUGAAUUGGUGGAAGCCAAUGUGCACGGACAAAUUGUAGGGAGUUAUAUCCCUGGACAGUAAGCUUUAAGGAUUUAUUUUGGUUUUUAUUGUUUUCUAAUUUUCUUUUGUUUUUAAUUGUUUUUUGGAUUUCUGG
rnacentral:lncRNA from 1 species